AGUAGCUUAGUAGUCAAUUAAGAUGAAUGAUUCCGCGUUACACAGAGAACUCUAAUUACGUGAAUAAGUGAAUAAUGUUAUUGCAUUUUAUUGUGGAGACGCCACAUAUUCAAGCAUCUUAAAGGAAUUUUUUGACGUGUGACACACCACGCAGUGAAAUCUUCUAAAGUUCCACGAAGGUUUGCGGAAGUGACACAACUUUGAAUUAUUAUCUUCCAAGACGUCAUGAAUCUUCGUACUUUGAUCGCGUGUCAACUUCCGCCCCUUGCCUUUGUGCAGAGUGCCAAUAACUUAAUUCAUUAUACGGAAGUGUUAUUCCCAUCUCGAUGCACUUUCACUCAUUUCGUGACUAUCUCCGUUCGCUUUCUCGUCGAGUAAGCCAAGUGCAAAGACCAACACGAAGGCGGAUCUUGUGAUGACGUCAGAACGAUUUUCUUAUCGUCCAAUACGAUAUCUCCUACGGAAAAAGGAUUCCUUAUACUAAGAGUUUUACAUUUGAGUCUCACUAAGAAAACGUGGGAAGCAAAGCAAUAAUUUAUAGCUGAUACAUGAACAUUUUAUAAUUCUAGUAGGAAACUUCCGACUUCACGAGCAGGAAACGCCGAGAUAUCAGAAUCUGACGUUCGUUUAUUGGAAUCAAAGAACAGUUCUUGUAAAUGAUCUUUAUCUUCUAUGGGAUUUCACGUUCUAUGCAAUUCUCGAAUUAUCAAACAUUUUAUGUUUAAAUGAACUAAUGAUUUUAUUAUGCUUAAAAGCCUAACAAUUUUGUUUUUCAGAAUCUCGUAAAUAAGACGUUUUACAUCGAAGAUUUAUUAUAAUGGCAAAAAAUCUCGUUAAGAAGCUUAACAUAUUACUAUUAUAAAUACAAUUAAUUAAAAUGUUUUAAU